rnacentral:lncRNA from 1 species
UGCUGCUCGAAUCUUCUCAAAUCUCAACUCGAAUUAAUCACAUACACACCAUUUUUUUGGAGAACAUCAGGAAUCAUUAAAAGGCAUUUCGAAACCGAAAGCCACAACGCGAGUGGGGGAUCGGCAGCAGCAGAUACGUGCACAUCAUCAGAAGCAUCAGAAAAAUUACAGAGAAUCAGCUUUGCGAGUCCGGAUCUUUGCACAGAAAGGCUGAGCAGCCGUCAUGGUCAAGCCAGUGAACCACACACACUAGAGCAUCCCCCUACCCCCGAUCAGCUACAGGACUUGCCGGCCGGACCUCCGAGUUGACCUCAGAACAAGAAGGCCGUCGGCGCGAACGCCGGCAACACCGUGGGUGCCCCGAAGUGCCUGCGGGUACAGAGACAGAAUGCACCUUGGUCAGUAGGAGUAUCAGAAUCCAGAAAUGAUCAAAAUGAAGGCUGCAUAGUAAUAACACAUGUUGGAUACUGAUGCUCUUGUUACUUUUGACCAAAUACUUGUGUGCAAGGUGAUUUAAGCUUGAACGUCUGCGUUAGCAGGGUUCGUGGCACCGUCAGGGGAGGGGUUACCUUUCUACAGUAACGGCAAUAGCCGGUGGGUGGGUCUAAUUGACGAACAUCCGUCGUCCGUUGUCUAUUAAUCCGCACGACCUUAUAUGUUUAGAAAGUUUAUAUAUAUAAAUUUAUUAUAUUUUAUAUUGGCAUAGAAAGUUUAUAUAUAGAAAAUUUAUAGAUAAAAAUAAAUUUAACAUAUAAAACAUCUAGUAAAAUUAUAUGUAUAAAGAUUAUACACUAAAGACUAUCUAUAGAAAGUUUAUAUACAGUGUUUGCGCGGGCUAAUGGACGUGCACAUGUCCGCAUGUUAGCCUUUUCGGUAGCUGGCUGGUUAGGGUUACCGAGCAAAACCAACAAAAACAGGACAAUUUACCCAGAGAAUUGAUUAAUUUGUUCGGUAAACUAUCCUUAGGGCAAGUACAACAGUGUAAACACUGUUGUUGUCUAUUUGAUACAUAGAUAGCUAAAUAGACAGUUUGUAAAAUGUCUUGUUUAUUUAUUUGUCUGCAAACCAUUUAAUGUAUUCUUUGACAUAUAAAUCAAGGUAAUCAGUAGUACUAGCGAAUAGACGAGACGCAGCGUACAACCGUGCUAGCGGUGUCGGUUUGGCAUUGGAGCACGCACCUCUGCCAUUUCUUCGCGAAGAGACACUGUGGUCGUCUGUUAGAUGGGAAGGAUUUUUUUACAAAUUCCAUGACAUACAUACGAUUUAAAGACAGACAUGAUACAUGCCCUAAGACUUGGUCAAUAUACUUAGACGGUUUCCGUUAUUACACCCCGGACAGUACGUCUGCUAUUUACCCUAGGCGUUUGAAUUUUUGCUGAUGCAAUUGGCACAAUGGCAUGGGAGGGACAAGAAGUAGUUGCAGGAGCAGCAUAGCAAGCAUGAAGUGAUGGGGGGGGGGGGGGGGGGGGGGUCACGGCCUUUGCUUGUCGUCUCGGCAGUGUACUGCAGCUUGAGUUUGACUACCAUGCACUAGCGAUAAAAAGGAAGAAAUUUGUACGUGAAGACACCCUCGUUCUUGAUUCUGACAGGGACGGUGAGAAUUGAGAUCGUCUACAUACAUGGUAGAUUCCAUUGGUAGGACACGGUGGUCCAACUAGUUGCGUGGAUUUCAAUAAUUAAUUGUCCAACUAGACUCUAGUUGCAUGGAUUUCAGAGAUUUUUCUUGGGAAUCCAUCAAUGAUGUUCGUGCACAAAUGGAAAGUACUAUGGUAGGCAGGUAAAGAUAGACGAAUUUCCUAGUUUAAGCCAUAUAUGAAUAUCAUGCGACCUUGUUUUAUUGUGAGAAAAAUGGGAAUCGAAAAACUCAACGAUUUUGCAAUUAUUCCCCGGCAGUAUCUAGACGUGGCAUGAGCAUCUUAAAAUUUCAUACUGCUAUAAAAUAAACUCAGCGCAAAAAAUCCUAAAAUCUACUACAAAUUUAAAUAAAAUUUGACCUACAGAAAUAAAAAGUUAAGGAUAAUUAAUUUCACCCUCUUAUUUUUUGUCUAGUGGCAGGAAUGAUACGUACGGUUUCAACUAACCCUAGAACGUCGUCAUCAUCCAUCAAAGUGUAUAGUAGAGCUUAAGCCCUGCAACAUGGCUUAAACAGUUGGAUAAUCAUGAGCUGCGAUGAGUGGCUAUUCAACUGUGUAAAAUGCUGCUAGCUGCAAAAAGGAGCAUUGACCUGGCAAACUUGAUCCCUGUGAACCCAUUUAAUCUACUACUAGUAACUCUUAUCCUGAUCCAACUUCCUGCAAGAUCCAACUGCUAAUCAUGCACGCGACGCAAGCUGAUCAGACCAACAGUUUCAUCAAUUUUUUUAAUCUUUCUAUGUGCAUCAGAUCAUCCAAAAAAAAGAAAACGAAUAGAGAGAGAAGAAGCGGGAUAGGAUUAGAGGCUGACGAGGUAGAAAUGUCAAAAGUCAAAUACUGCGCAGCGUGCGCAUGGAUGGACCGAAGACUCGGAGCCACGUCACACUAGACCAUCCAGAUGGUCCCCACCUGGAAGCGACUGGACAGCGAUCCGACGACGCGGGAGGAGAGUGUCAACGGACACGUGUCGCGAUCGCGCCCGUCCCGAUUCCCUGAUCCAACGGCCAGAAAGAAACACACAGGCGUCCGCGCGCGGGGGGAGGAGAGAGAAGCAGAAGCUCACCGGAAGCCGUCGUAGUCCGCCGACCGGACCCCGCCGGGGCGACGGCCUCGCCUUCGCCUUCACCGUCUUCGCCUUCGCCUUCGUGGCGCUCGACGACACCACCGUGGCGUCCUCGCUUCUCCGCGUGCGCCGCCGCCGCGUCGUCGAUCGCCACCACCACUGCAGCCGGCUCCUCCGCCUCCACCGCCGCCGGCGACGACGGCCGCCGCGCGCGCCUCACGAAGGCGAACAGCUUCAUCCCCCGAUCCGCACUGCCUAGCUUACGAAUCGAAACAAACACAAGACGGCCCUAGCCAAUCUGCGCCAAAUGACACGCCCGCUGUUUUGUAGGGGCGGC